rnacentral:rRNA from 1 species
UUCAGACCGUAAACGAUGCCAUCUGGCGAUCCGCCGGCGUUAUGCUUGACCCGGCGGGCAGCCACCGGUAAACCUUUAAGUGGGGUUCCGGGGGAAGUAUGGUUGCAAAGCUGAAACUUAAAGGAAUUGACGGAAGGGCACCACCAGGAGUGGAGCCUGCGGCUUAAUUUGACUCAACACGGGGAAACUCACCCGGCCCGGACACCGUAAGGAUUGACAGAUUGAGAGCUCUUUCUUGAUUCGGUGGGUGGUGGUGCAUGGCCGUUCUUAGUUGGUGGAGCGAUUUGUCUGGUUUAUUCCGAUAACGAACGAGACUCUAGCCUACUAAAUAGACACUGGUUCUUCGGACCGGUGAACUUCUUAGAGGGACAAGCGACGUUUAGUCGCACGAGAUUGAGCAAUAACAGGUCUGUGAUGCCCUUAGAUGUCCGGGGCUGCACGCGCGCUACACUGAAGGCAUCAUCAUGUUUCUUUUCCUACCCCGGAAGGGGCGGGUAACCCGAUGAAACGCCUUCGUGAUUGGGAUAGGGACUUGCAAUUAUUUCCCUUGAACGAGGAAUUCCUAGUAAGUGCGAGUCAUCAGCUCGCGCUG